GCGCAAUGGCAGAUAGCAGUUUUCAGUUCAUACCUGCAUGAUUGUUUUAUGCUCUGUAUUGUGCGUUUAUGCCUUAAUGUGAAAGAUGCCUUACUAGAGCCCAAGCAGACUGAUCUACACUCCCUGAAACCAGGAGAUCAUGGUUAAAGAUUUCUGGCGAAAUAACUGGAAGGCGUGUAGAGGUGGCUAGGUCUGUUAGAGAUCCUGCUGAUGAUGCAGACUGCCCUGAAGAUCAUGGAGAGAGCCAAGUGGAUACAUGCCAGCCAUUGCAAGAAAGUUCCAGCGCAAUCUAUAUGAACCAUCCAAGAGACAUUCUGAACUUUCAGAAGACCAGAGGCAAGAAAGAAAGGGAAAGGGAAAGACCUGUGUUGUGUAAACUCUGAACAUUGCAAGAUCAAAACAGUCUUACAGGAGGCAUGUUUGGCAAGGACUCAUAUCACCUGAUGGACAAGAACCAUGGCUAAUUUAAUAGAAGGGGAUCUGUUCAUGUCUCUGCAGGAUCACUCCCUAAGCCAUUGCUAGGGAGUGGACCUGUGUAUGGGAGCAGGAAUCGCUGUGGCUUUUAGAUAAAGUUUCAGAAAUGAGUUUACUGGGCAAUAUGCUGUGCUUAAAGAAGAAAACAGAUACAUCUAUUAUCUAGUGACUAAAGCCCACAGCAGAGAUAAACCUACUUAUACUACGCUCAAGUAACAUUUUUUGAACAUGAAAGCUCAUUGCCUAAAAUACAGUGUUAAGCAUGUUAGUAUGCCAAAAAUUUCCUAAAGGACAAAAAGGAGGGAAAUGUACUGGAAAUUUUUAAUUCUGUAACCAUAUAUGACUUAUCUAGUUUAACUAACAAUAUGUACAUGACUGAAAAUGCUUCUCCUUUCUUACAGACAGACACACAGACACAAACACACUAACUACAGAAAGGUCAGCAAUUGAAGGUAUCACCAGAAAAGGAGUUGUUUUCCUUAAACACAGUUUCAGUCUGGGUCUGGGGCCAGGGGAAGAGGAAGAGGAAGUAUGAAGAGGAAGUACCUCUAUCACAUUCUUGCUUUUGUAUGUGUGUGUGACAGAUGUCUCUGUGCAGAGAAUAAAGUUACUUGCUGUUUUCAUUUA